rnacentral:tRNA from 1 species
UGGGGGAUCGUCUAACGGCAGGACAGCGCCCUUUGAAGGCGUUUAUCCAGGUUCGAAUCCUGGUCCCCCAG